UUGGUAAAAAUUAGUUUGCAUGCAAAAUGCAUUAUUUUAUAUAUCGUCUAUUACUAACCGAGACUCAAUCGUAACUAGUUAAUACAUUAUAAGCAAACAAUGGCAAAAUCUAAAUACCUAUAAAUAAUACCGGGUGUACCAAGAUAAGAAUAUCAGUUAACGAUUUUUUUUUCAGUGAUUUGAAUGAAAACCAAGGAUAAGUAGAUUAUAAAAAGACUGGAUAAAAAACUUAUUAUUUAAUAGAAUAAGCCAAUAUGGAAAACGUAAACGUAAAACGUAAGCCAACGUAAUAUGGAAAAUUGCAGGUUGUUUUAAAUUAUGUAAAACACAAUAUGGUAGCUAAUUGACAUGACACCAAAAUAUGAAGUUAAUAAAAUACUCUUUAUUGAUAUAUAUUUUUCCUUACUAUUCACUUAUAAUAAAUUAAAUUUUCUUGUAAACGGUUCUUCUUAUCUACUAUAACUAAACAUAUUUUUUUUAAUGUAAAAACCCAGCAUCGAUUGUUAAAUUUUACUAAAUUUUAAGAAUGGAUCAAUGUUCAUAAGAAGUUUUUAUCCUAUUAUUAUG